CACAUUAUCAAGGGUAAUCUUCCUUUCAAGUCAACUGAUUGCAUCAGACCAGAGCACCCAACUAAGGAAACUGGAGACCAUGAGAAGCCACUGGAAGUCUGUGAGCAGGAGAAUGACAUUGUAACAUGACCAAAGGGGACGCCGGUUUGAUUCCUGGUCCAGGAAUUAAGAGCCCACAUGCUGCAGAACAACUAAGCCCACUCGAGGCAACUAUUGAGCCCUCUGGAGCCUAUAUGCUACAACAAGAGAGUCUGUGUGCCACAAUGAAAGAUCCAGAAUGCCUCGACUAAGACCUGAUGCAGCCAGGCAAGGAAAAUGACUUUAUUCAGAGAGUUGGCUGAUCAAGAAAAUGUCUACUCAUGUCUCAAAAUGACCAAUUUAUCAGGGUCUGGAAGCCAGGUUUUUUUAUAGAUCACAGAUGGGAGGAGGUGAGGAAACAAAAUAAAAAGGCCAUUAAUGUUUCAAAUCUCUCCUAAAUGGCAAGCUUCAGGCUGGGUGAAGAGUUAAUUUCUUCCUUCCUGCCAUCUGCAUCUCUCUAGUAAUUAGCAAUGCCUAGAGAAUCCCAAGGACAGAGGAACCUCGUGGGCUACACUCCAUGGGGUCACAAAGAGACAUGACUGAGUGACUAAC
ensembl:lncRNA